rnacentral:rRNA from 1 species
UACGUAGGGGGCAAGCGUUGUCCGGAUUUAUUGGGCGUAAAGAGCGUGUAGGCGGCCAGGUAGGUCCGUUGUGAAAACUCGAGGCUCAACCUCGAGACGCCGAUGGAAACCGUCUGGCUAGAGUCCGGAAGAGGAGAGUGGAAUUCCUGGUGUAGCGGUGAAAUGCGCAGAUAUCAGGAAGAACACCCGUGGCUAAGGCGGCUCUCUAGUACGGUACUGACGCUGAGACGCGAAAGCGUGGGGAGCGAACAGG